rnacentral:lncRNA from 1 species
UGCAUGGUGACCUUCUCUUUGUGUCUUCAUAAUUUUAAAGGCUAGUUAAAACAAGUAAUGAUAUGUUAUUUGUGAAUUUCUAAAAUCGGGGAUUGUCAAAUCCUUUAAAUAAUUAGUGAUUUAACAAAAUCACUAACAGUUUCAGUGAUUUUUUUAAAUCUAUGAAAUUGUUCCAGACUCAAACUAAAAAACAAUAAGCCAGCGAUUAAUAAGAUGCAUCAAGCUAGCGAACAAUAAGCCAGCGAACAAUCAGAAACCGCUCCAACCUGAUCAUGCCUAAAAACCGAAGACUUGCACUAGUAAACAUGAAACGUCCUUGGAAAUCUGAUGACAACCAUUUCCAGAAGGAAGACGAAAUGCAAUUCAUUUUCACACAGACAAAGUUAAUUAGUUAUUCUUUUAUUUAAUACCACUUUUUUUUUUUAAGCCGGGC